UGUGUGACGCAAGUUGUUAGUUUGCUGCCGCUUCUCACGGAAAUACAUGAAGAGAGUCUCUCUCCCAGCUAUCUUGCUAGAAUUUUCUCUUUACAGCACCAAAUGGCAGAAAAACCAAUGAGGAUUUGACCUUUGGCCACAAUGCAUCAUGGGAUCCUAGUUAAGAUGAAGAAAGAAUGCGAAGAAGCAACAAUAACCAUCUUGCAAAGUACAUCAGCGCUCAGAUUCUGACCUUCGAUGUCUGCCUCUUCGUUGACUCAAAGGGUUGCGUGUGGCUACGGCGGCGGCAAAGCUGACAAGGCAACACAACACGGUGGUGACGUGUGUGGCAGGCCAGCUGGAGGCGUCAUCCUCGACGUACGCUGCCAACAGGUGCCAACAACAAACCAGGAACCACAGCACCGAAGACACAAUAUCAAUUCUCCUCAACCUGAUAAUCACACCAGAUGAAAAGUUGACUUUUCCUCCUCAAACAGAUAUUCGCAGCAGAGUGAUACUAACCUGGCCGCUCCUGCGAAUAGGAGACCAAUGAGGCACGAUGACAGGCCGACACAAAUGACCGCCACCUGAUGAGCUUGUCCGAAGAGCAACAAGAGCUUGGCAUUGUCUACGAGUGUAACCGGGAGGAGGUCCAGCAGACUCUGCCAUGGCUGUGUGACUCCAUCGCUGCCAUUUUUGGUGGCGGACACGUUGUGGGCGAUUGAUUGGGAAUGAUUUAGUCCUCCGUUUGAAGUCUGCUGGUCAGCAGAGAAAGUCAAAGCGAGCAGAAGAGCACAAACGAGGAACGAGAGACAUCUGAGCAAGACGACAGCCAGAGGACAGGAUGCAGAGAGGGAGCCCUGUAAGCGAGAUAGAACUUCAUGGAUUAGAAAAUAAGUAGUCAAAUUUCCAGGGCAGAAAUGUAACGAUGCUAACAAUUUAAAGAUGGCCCCGUUUCCUGCGAAAGGUAAAAACUUUAACUGCUUCCAACUGAUACCAAGCACAAUUUUAAAAUCACCUUUUGCAGGCCACAAAACAGAUCGGCAGGACAAAUACGGCUCACGGGUCUCAAAUUUUACACGUGUCCUCGAUUUAUUUACACUAUAGGGUUCAGAUGCCAUAAUUACAAAUGCAGUGUGACAUCUUUACAUUGGAAUCAGGGCUCUUCCAAAUGUAGAUAAAAUCCUAUACUUAAUGCAUACCUGCCGAGAUGAGCGCAAGAAACGCUUUGUCAAUGCAAACUUCAUUGAAAUAGUAAACCCAAACAUAAUUACAUCUGAACAACAGUGAAAAACUAAACAAAAAUGAUGUUUCACUAAUUCCGUGCCAGAAAAAAAAACAGCAGUGUUAUACCUCCGAUCACUUGAAAUGUACUGUAAAUAGAAGCCCCCCCCAAAAAAAACAAAAA